rnacentral:rRNA from 1 species
GCGAACGGGUGAGUAACGCGUAGGUAACCUGCCUAUUAGUGGGGGAUAACUAUUGGAAACGAUAGCUUCACCGUUGAUAGUGUUUAACACAUGUUAGAGACUUAAAAGAUGCAAUUGCAUCACUAGUAGAUGGACCUGCGUUGUAUUAGCUAGUUGGUGGGGUAACGGCCUACCAAGGCGACGAUACAUAGCCGACCUGAGAGGGUGAUCGGCCACACUGGGACUGAGACACGGCCCAGACUCCUACGGGAGGCAKCAGUAGGGAAUCUUCGGCAAUGGGGGCAACCCUGACCGAGCAACGCCGCGUGAGUGAAGAAGGUUUUCGGAUCGUAAAGCUCUGUUGUAAGAGAAGAACGUGUGUGAGAGUGGAAAGUUCACACAGUGACGGUAACUUACCAGAAAGGGACGGCUAACUACGUGCCAGCAGCCGCGGUAAUACGUAGGUCCCGAGCGUUGUCCGGAUUUAUUGGGCGUAAAGCGAGCGCAGGCGGUUUAAUAAGUCUGAAGUUAAAGGCAGUGGCUUAACCAUUGUUCGCUUUGGAAA